UCGUUCAAGGAGGUUGUCUGCUCCUACAUCUAAUAAAAAUGUUGUAAAACAAACAUUAAGUUAAAAAAAUCAAAAAUAAGUUUAAAAAAAAUUAAAUAAACAAAGCAGGCGAAAUAAGCAUAUUCGGAUUCACUUCCAGAAAAUAUUUAGUUUGUGCAAGCUUAUCGUUCAGGGAGGUUGUCUGCUCCUACAUCUAAUAAAAAUGUUGUAAAACAAACAUUAAGUACAAAAAGAAACCGUAGACUCUGGACCCCCGACUACAAAAUUGCUUUCGAAAGCAUAAGGUAUUUCAGACUCGUGCUUUGUGUAGCAUCAUAUUCCGAUUGAUCAAAAGUCUUUUGCACUGAAGCGUCUGCAAGUCCCCGAAGUCCCCAAAAAGAAACUGCCAAAGCAAGUCGGUUGUCUAACAGCUCGAGCAUUACUACAAUUUCGAAUAUUUUUUCGUUAUUUUUCCUUUGCAAAAGUCGUUGGAGCCAGAUAAAAUACAUUUAUCAGAAUGCAUUUCUCGGGCUCCAAAGGCACAAAUACGAAGCUGAAAAAAUAUUUAAAAUUUAAUUAAUGCUCGUCCUGUUUGAUAACCGAAAUGCUUCGGCUGGAGAAGGUUGGGAACCACCAAAUGACUGGAACACAUCCCUUGGCCAACCUCGAAAACUUCUACAUGAUCCCAAAAAGUUGCAAGAACCAGCAACACAGGAUGUUCCUUUGUAACCAAGGGAGGAGAGCCCAGACGAUUUUCGGAUUCAGUUCUUCCAGGCGUUGGAACGGAUAAUUUUUCGGGUUAAUAAUAUGAAGAAAACUAUUUUCGGAAUCCAAAUUAAAAAUUGUGAUUUUAAUCUAA